rnacentral:lncRNA from 1 species
AGAUGCUCCAGGCCCUUUAUCAUCUUUGUGACCCUCUGCUGGACUCCUUCUAGGAGAUCCCUGUUGGUUUUGAACUGGGGAGCCCAAAACUGAACACAGUAAUCUAAACGUGGCCUUACCAGUGCAAAGUAGAGGGGAAAGAUCGUCUCACUCUACCUGCUGGCCACAUUCUAUUUAAUGCACCUAGCAGAAGGGUGCAUUUUUAAGUCCACCAGUAGAAGGGAGAAAGAAAGCAAUAGGCAUCUGUUAAUCCCUCUUUUUUCUUGCUUUUUUUUCCUUCCCUUUUAUGUUUCUCUUUUUCUUUUCCAUUUCCCUUUCCUUUUUUUUUAAAAAAGCACAAAUAAAUUCAUGAAAUGACACUUCUCGACGUACAAACAGAUAUAAAAAUAUCAUCUGAUACCUCUUUGCGCUGUUCUCACAAUCAUAGAGUAGCCAUCAGUAGCUUUGGUUUUGGUAAUAAAUAAAUAAAUAAAUAAAUAAAUAAAAAAUCUGCAGGACUGUCGUACAAAUACUAGUGAUGGGGGAUGGAGGGGAGAUAUUCUGGCCAUCAGUGACCUUUCCCUUCCAUUUCCCCCCCUUAUUUUCUCCUUUUCUGUUCUCCUUUCUCUUUUUCUUCCCUAUUUAAUUUUCAUUUUGUCUUUCUUCCCCCUUUCCUUCCCUCUUUUUUCUUGCUCUUUUUUUUUACUUCCCCUUUAUGUUUCCCUUUCCCUUUAUUUCCCUUUCCCUUUAUUUCCCUUCCCUUUUUCUUUUCUCUUUUUCUAUUCUUUUCUUUGGGGAAGCUGUAUUUAUGUUGUAUUUACUUUGGUAUUAUCUUACCUUUUUAGAGGAGUUGUGCUGCUUCUGCUUCUUCAAAAAGGAACAGGGGAGCUCUACAGUAGAAGCCUGAAGAGGUGUUGUGCCUGCUUCUGCUGGCUUCAAAAAGGAACAGGGAGCUCUACAGUAGAAGCCUGAAGUUGAGGUGGGGUGGCCUGUCUGCCUGUACUCCUUCCUUCCCUCCUGGGAAAGUUCACCACAUGAGGUUUUGAUAGGCUUCCAUAAUGUAUGGGUAUGGAAAGCUGCAACUACUCUGCAGAUGACUGGUAUAUACUUAACAUUUGAAAUCUCAAUAAAAUUUUCUGCUUGUUGAGUUAUUGUCUGGCA